rnacentral:misc_RNA from 1 species
AUUUAAAGUUAUUGCCGGCCCUAGUGACAAACCCAUGAUUGUUGUAAACUAUAAGGGUGAAGAGAAGCAGUUUUCGGCUGAAGAAAUCUCUUCUAUGGUGCUCAUAAAGAUGAAGGAGAUUGCCGAGGCGUAUUUGGGAACAACAGUGAAGAACGCCGUCGUCACUGUCCCAGCCUACUUCAACGAUUCACAGAGACAGGCCACCAAGG